rnacentral:rRNA from 1 species
UACGUAGGUGGCAAGCGUUGUCCGGAAUUAUUGGGCGUAAAGCGCGCGCAGGCGGUUCCUUAAGUCUGAUGUGAAAGCCCCCGGCUCAACCGGGGAGGGUCAUUGGAAACUGGGGAACUUGAGUGCAGAAGAGAAGAGCGGAAUUCCACGUGUAGCGGUGAAAUGCGUAGAGAUGUGGAGGAACACCAGUGGCGAAGGCGGCUCUUUGGUCUGUAACUGACGCUGAGGCGCGAAAGCGUGGGGAGCGAAC